UUUAUACGUCGAAUUUUGGUCGCGUCGAAUGCAAUUAAGACAAUAGAGAGUGAGAUGAUAAACCUCAUUAAGCUUCAUUAUCAAUUGUUUGAAUUGCAUUCGACGCGACCGAAAUUCGACGUAUAAA
rnacentral:miRNA from 1 species